rnacentral:rRNA from 1 species
UACGUAGGGGGCGAGCGUUGUUCGGAAUCACUGGGCGUAAAGCGCACGCAGGCGGAUCGUUAAGUCAGGGGUGAAAUGCCGAGGCUCAACCUCGGAACUGCCUUUGAUACUGGCGAUCUUAGAGUCCGGGAGAGGUGAGUGGAACUCCGAGUGUAGAGGUGAAAUUCGUAGAUAUUCGGAAGAACACCAGUGGCGAAGGCGGCUCACUGGCCCGGUACUGACGCUCAGGUGCGAAAAGCGUGGGGAGCAAACAGG